rnacentral:tRNA from 1 species
GGAGAGGUGUCCGAGUGGUUUAAGGAACACGGCUGGAAACCGUGUAGCCCCCAAAAGGGGCUCGUGGGUUCGAAUCCCACCCUCUCCG